AACGCACGAGACCUGCGGACCUGCGGAGGGAUCAUUAGUGAACGCCCUCACGGGCUUAUAACUGUUCCAAACCUCUGUGAACCGUGCCCUUCGGGGCUAUUUUACAAACAUGGUGUAAUGAACGUCAUAUAUCAUAACAAAACAAAACUUUUAGCAAUGGAUCUCU
rnacentral:misc_RNA from 1 species